CCUACGGGACGCAGCAGUGGGGAAUAUUGCACAAUGGGCGCAAGCCUGAUCCAGCCAUGCCGCGUGAGUGAUGAAGGCCUUAGGGUUGUAAAGCUCUUUUGGCGGGGCCGAUAAUGACGGUACCCGCAGAAUAAGUCCCGCCUAACUUCGUGCCAGCAGCCGCGGUAAUACGAAGGGGACUA
rnacentral:rRNA from 1 species